UGUGCCAAAAACUUUGAAUCCUCAGUGGAGGGAACAGUUUGACUUUCAUCUCUAUGAAGAACGAGGUGGAAUUAUUGAUAUUACCGUGUGGGACAAAGAUGCUGGCAAAAAGGAUGAUUUUAUUGGCAGGUGCCAGGUCGACCUGUCAACCCUAAGUAAAGAGCAAACUCACAAGCUGGAGAUGCCCCUGGAGGAAGGAGAGGGAUACCUGGUGUUGCUGGUCACUCUGACAGCCUCAGCUGCAGUCACUAUCUCUGACCUCUCUGUCAACUCCCUGGAGGACCCAAAGGAGCGGGAGGAAAUACUGAAGAGAUAUAGUCCAAUGAGGAUGUUCCAUAACAUGAAGGACGUGGGAUUUCUUCAGGUGAAGGUCAUCCGAGCAGAAGCAUUGAUGGCAGCUGAUG